rnacentral:rRNA from 1 species
CCUACGGGCGGCAGCAGUGAGGAAUAUUGGUCAAUGGACGAGAGUCUGAACCAGCCAAGUAGCGUGAAGGAUGACUGCCCUAUGGGUUGUAAACUUCUUUUAUAUGGGAAUAAAAUGUUCCACGUGUGGGAUUUUGUAUGUACCAUAUGAAUAAGGAUCGGCUAACUCCGUGCCAGCAGCCGCGGUAAUACGGAGGAUCCGAGCGUUAUCCGGAUUUAUUGGGUUUAAAGGGAGCGUAGGUGGAUUGUUAAGUCAGUUGUGAAAGUUUGCGGCUCAACCGUAAAAUUGCAGUUGAAACUGGCAGUCUUGAGUACAGUAGAGGUGGGCGGAAUUCGUGGUGUAGCGGUGAAAUGCUUAGAUAUCACGAAGAACUCCGAUUGCGAAGGCAGUUCACUGGACUGCAACUGACACUGAGGCUCGAAAGUGUGGGUAUCAAACAGGAUUAGAUACCCAAGUAGUC